rnacentral:lncRNA from 1 species
CCAUAGAACAGAAACACAGACCCUUAACAGCAAUAGGAACUACCUUUGUUGGAGGACCUUAUCAUGAGAGAUGGCAUCAUUCUGUCCAUGCCUAGUUUAACCCUGGCUCUGUCAUUGUCUAAUGAGAAAUAUUCUUAGGAUUUAUGAUCUUAGAAGGUCCUUCCUCCCUCCUUUUUUUUUCUUAAGAUACCACCUAUCUACAAAAUUUUUUAAAUAUACAAAUAAUAUUUCCUCUCUGGUUAUAUGAAGUAACAUAAAGUCAUAAAUAUCUGUGGAAAGGAAAAGAUGAAAUAUUACACUUAUACUGAGGGUCAGAUUGAGGGCUUCAUUAGUAGUAGUGUCUCCUAAAAGGAAAAAAUUUGCUUAGGACUCAUAAGGCAAAAUAGAGACCUUAUCUAGUUUAAAUAUAAUUACAUAUGGCUAUAAAAUUAUUUAUCUUACUAUUAAGAAUGAUUUUUAAAGUUUUAAAGUGAU